CAUUGAAACACCAGUUCCCAUACAAUCACCAAAGUUAAGCAAUGUCGAGCCUGUUUAGUACUUAGAUGGUAACUGCUUGAGAAUAUCAGGUACUGUGA